rnacentral:rRNA from 1 species
GAUGAACGCUGGCGGCGUGCCUAACACAUGCAAGUCGAGCGAAAAGACGAGGAGCUUGCUCCUCUGACGUUAGCGGCGGACGGGUGAGUAACACGUGGAUAACCUACCUAUAAGACUGGGAUAAUUUCGGGAAACCGGAGCUAAUACCGGAUAAUAUAUUGAACCGCAUGGUUCAAUAGUGAAAGACGGUUUUGCUGUCACUUAUAGAUGGAUCCGCGCCGCAUUAGCUAGUUGGGAAGGUAACGGCUUACCAAGGCAACGAUGCGUAGCCGACCUGAGAGGGAGGACCGGCACCCUGGGACUGAGGAGCGGUCCCGACACCUGCCGGGAGCAACGGUGAGGAAUCCUACGGGAGGGGGCGAAGGCUAACCGGGGCAACGCGGGGAAGGUGUGGAAGGUCUCCGAUUCGGAAACUAUGUUGUUUGGGGAGGAGCAAAGUGUUAUUAACCUGGGACGUUUUGACCGUACCUUAAUAAAAAGCCCCGGCUAACUUCGUG